GCCCACUGAGUUAUUAAAUGGCCGCGGUAUACUGACCGUGCAAAGGUAGCAUAAUCAUUUGUCUUUUAAUUGAAGGCUUGAAUGAAUGGUUGGACGAGAGAGCUUCUUUCUUUGUUAAAAUAAUAAGAAUUUUAUUUUUCAGUUAAAAAGCUGAGAUUUUAUUGUAGGACGAGAAGACCCUGUAGAACUUUAUAUGUUAUUUUAUAUUUUUAUUUUUAGUAAUAAUUUAUGUUAUGGGAUAAUUUAUUUUGUUGGGGCGACAAGAAAAUUUAAUUAACUUUUUUAUUUUUAUUCACUAAUUAGUGUAUGUAUGAUCCUUUAUUAAAGAAUUUAGAUUAAGUUACCUCAGGGAUAACAGCGUAAUUUCUUUGGAGAGUUCUUAUCGAUAUAGGAGUUU
rnacentral:rRNA from 1 species